rnacentral:rRNA from 1 species
UACGUAGGGUGCGAGCGUUAAUCGGAAUUACUGGGCGUAAAGGGUGCGUAGGCGGAUAUAUAAGUUAGAUGUGAAAUACCCGAGCUUAACUUGGGUCCUGCAUUUAAGACUGUAUGUCUAGAGUUUGUCAGAGGGGGGUAGAAUUCCAAGUGUAGCAGUGAAAUGCGUAGAGAUUUGGAGGAAUACCGAUGGCGUAGGCAGCCCCCUGGGAUAGAACUGACGCUGAGGCACGAAAGCGUGGGUAGCAAACAGG